AUAGGAGUGAAAGGCCUAUCAAACCUGGAGAUAUCUCGUUCUCUCCGAAAUAGCUUUAGGGCUAGCCUCGGAUGUUUACCAAUGGGGGUAGAGCACUGAAUAGUUGCGGGGGCUUCACCGCCUACCAAGAUUAAUCAAACUCCGAAUACCAUUGGUCUAGAAUCCGGGAGUCAGAAUAUGUGGGCUAAGCUGUGUAUUCGAAAGGGAAACAGCCCAGACCGCCCGCUAAGGUCCCAAAAUCAAUGCUAAGUGGCAAAGGAUGUGCGUUUGCUCAGACAACCAGGAUGUUGGCUUAGAAGCAGCCAUUCAUUUAAAGAGUGCGUAAUAGCUCACUGGUCGAGUGGACAUGCGCCGACAAUAUACGGGGCUAAGCAUUGUACCGAAGCGGCGGAUCAGUACUUUGUACUGGUGGUAGGAGAGCUUUCUGUACGGGUUGAAGCAGUUGGAUAACCAACUGUGGACUGUCCAGAAGUGAGAAUGCUGGCAUGAGUAACGAGAGACAUGUAAAAAAC
rnacentral:rRNA from 1 species